rfam:Ictidomys tridecemlineatus contig091291, whole genome shotgun sequence.
CCAAAGGCUCUUUUCAGAGCCACCUACAGUUUUCCAUAGAAGAGCU